AAAAAAAAAAAAGAAAAUACCCAACGCGAAACCCCAGCAUCCUCCAUCGUCCAUCCCUGUUCGGCCGCCGCAAGCCUCCAUCCUCCCACCCGAUUGAAAUCAAAAAUAAAAUAAAAGGAAAUAUAGUGCCAUCCUCCCACCCAAUUGAAACCAGAAACAAAAAAAAAAAGGAAAUACCCAACGCGAAACCCCAGCAUCCUCCAUCGUCCACCCCUGUUCGGCCGCCGCAAGCCUCCCACCCGGUUGGGACUUUAGAGGACGGAAAAAGGAAGAGGAAAACAGGGCAUCAACAGACCCUAUUCGGCCACCCCAAGCCUCCCAUCCGGUUGGGACUCCUGAGGACGGAAAAAGGAGAGCAAAAUCGGACGAAAACAGAGGAAAAAUCCACGAAACAGAGGAAAGACAGAAAAAUUUCAGAAAAUAAUGCUCGGCAGAUCGAUAUGUCACAAAGAGUUAUUUGAAUACACUCACAAGAGAAAAGAUGGUACAUUUACAUCUGAGAAAGCAAAGAUAGUGAGUGAGAAAUAUGAUACUAUCAUGCAACAGAAGUAUGGUGAGGACUUAUCUUUCCAUCCUUCUUUAGACGAGGAGGCUUGGCUGGCUGCUGCGGGACCUUCCAAAAAGGGUAGAGUGUUUGGAUUAGAUUAUACCUUAGUUCCUCCAUCUAAAUCUAACAAUCCAUCAUCUCAAAAUAGUAUCAUUGGAUGUGGUGCACAGCCACGUUCGAAUGAUGAGGUGACAAGAGAGAUGUGUCUUAUGUGGGAGAAUAUGGAUAAGUUAAAUCAGAAUAUUCAAGCACAACAAAAUUCAAUAGGUCAGGUUCUUGCACAACAACAAUCUAUAGAUCGGAUUCUUCAUGGCUUGUCUCAAUUGAUACAUCCACAACCACCACCGACAUCAUCCAGAUCAACAAUUGAGAAUUCUCCUAGAUCUUCGGACAUGACUCCGACUAUAGCUCCAUGGCAUUGGUCAUCUGCUUGGGCUCUACUUCGAAGCAACAUGCGUCAGAGGAAGAUAGAAGUGGACAUAGCUGUGGUGGAGGGGAUACAAAUCUAGG